GGCUCCGGCCUGUGCUUUCGCCUCCAGACCAUGGAGCUUCUUCACCCACAUGCUGGGUGCCGUCCAGCCUGAGGCCUGUGUGCAGGGUCCCGGUUUCAAGCCCCGAUUCCCACCUGCUAACUGUGACCCAGGAAGCCCCACCCCCCGCAGCCCUCAGUUUCUUCACCUGCCAAACUCCCUGCCUUCGAGGUGAGAGAUUACGUAAGUAAGGAACCCUCUCAUGGGACAGCUGGACACAGCCAGGCGGGAAGGACUCUUCACCAGCCCCGUCUCCAUAGUCCCGGCUGCCAUCACUGCUGGCAUCGACACUGACCCUCCAGCUCCAGCACCAGACCCUGCGGAAGCCUGUGGUCCUG
rnacentral:lncRNA from 1 species